UGUUUUCUGUUUUUUAUACCUUUUAUUUAAAUUCGACUAUCUACUGCCCUAAACAAUGGAAUAAUAAUAAUGUCUAUUGUGUACUUUUGCUUAAAAUGCUAUUGUAUCAAUGUUACCAGGUCCACAAGCAAUGCAUUUGUUAAAUUCGAAAUGAAUUACUUUUAUUAUAAUUAACUUGUAGACUGUUAAUGGCAUCAAGGAUAUUGUUCUUAAGACGAGAUUAGAUUCGAGUUGAUAUAUCUUGUGAUAUCUACCAUCUGGGGAAUAAAAUGAUUUUUUAAAAAACUUUUGAUAGUGUAAAUUAAGCAUAUAUUGCUAGUAAGUUUACAAAAAAAAAAAUAAUAACCCACUACACU